AGAGAGAGAGAGAGAGAGGUACCGUCUCAACCGUGUCCAGGAUGAGUGUGUUCUUGUAAGAGGUCUUCUGGUUAAAUUUAAAAGAGGGAUUUUUUUAAAGUUUUGCGCCCAAAUGAGCCUAUAUCUGUCGCAUCUUAGUUUCUCUGAUUGAACUGAAGGUAGUACAAAAAUGGCCACUGAAAGUUCAUUUCUACUUGAUGCUUGAUGUAUGUGUUGGAGUUGGGCUGAUGGUUCCAUUGUUUCAUUGAUUCCAGUUUGGCUAAACUGUGUUUUUCUUUAUCUUUGGUGUAGAAAGAAGAUCCCUGUUUCUGGUUAUGAUGUCUCGGCAGAGUCAGUUAUUUACAUUGCUUAAGAGAAGGUUUCAUUCCCCGUCUAGUGAUGCCCCAACGGAGACCUUAAGAAAGAAGAUAGCCGAUUUGCAAAAGAGUAAGAAGCGAAGGAACCCAAUAAAGAACCAGUUUCUAGUUGAGGUUCCAGAAUCAAGAUCGUAUUUGGACACUGCAACGAUGCCUAUGUUCCUCGCUGUGGUCGGUAUCGCAUUGUUUGCAAAGGUGUUAAUGAUGGUAAGUAGUAAGCGUUCUUCUACCAUCUCUUUCUUGUCAAUGAUUUGAGUAGCUAUUAAGCAGAUGUGCCCUCGUUGCUCUAUGCCUACUUUGCAAUAUAUGUAGUUUAAAAUAAAAUCUGAGGAAAUUGCUGAUUUUCAUUGUUGGUUUGUUGCCAGAUUGAUGAUUCGAAAUCCCAAGAAAUGAUUGAACGCAAGAUAAAGAAUGCACCACCGGGACAAGGCACAGUGCGGAUAAUUGAGCGUGAGGAGUGGGAUGAGUUUAGAGAAGUAAGGCCAAGAACACCUUUUGAGUCCAAGCUUGCUCGCCCAAAUGCACAAAUAAGAACUGGAGAACCUGUGCGCAAGGUAAACACUUCUAUUCAAUCAUCAACCCUUACUGUAUUUUCCUAAAUCGUAUCCUCAUUCGAUAAUCAGACUUUUUGCUUGUUUCCUUUUUCAUCAGGAUGACUUGACGAACUGGACAAUAGACGUGCUAACAAACGCACUGGAACGAACCGAAGAAAGUGUUCGCCGCAGAUCCAGUUAGAUUUUCAUGAGUUCUCCUCAAUUCAAUGGGAGCUUCCUAGUUAAUAUACAUACUAGAUAAAUUACCCGCACUAUGUGCGGGAUGAAAUGACAAUUAAAGAAGUGCAUUGUAGUUUUAGUUAUAAAAAUUAUUGUAUUAUUAUCCGAAAUCCAAAAUCUGUUAGUGUAUUAUGAAACAUGUUAAAAAAACGUUUUAUAUUCCAAUCAUCGAUUUUUCGUAUCGGAAUUCGUUUUACCCGUAAAUUAAUUAAAGACGACAAUUUCUUUUCUAACGUAACUUAAAUAACAAACACAUAUACAUCUUUGUAAAAGAGUUGAUGAAGAUUUACAAAAUUUAGAUUGCUCGAAAACUAAGAAGAUGUGUGUUUGGUAAAUUUGAGAGGAUGAAGAUGAUAUCAGGGAAUAUAUUUAUAGAGAAAUAUUUUUGUAGGGUUCCGUUUAAUUUUUGAAAUUUGGAUUGCCUUCAAAAUUUGAAAAAUUAAUUUAUUGUUGAUUUUAUGAUAGAUUUAGUUUUGAGAAUUAAUUUUAUAAAUGUAGUUUGGAUUUAUGAACCUAGGAAAAUUUGUACUUACAAAAGUUAUAAAAUAUAUUCUAAUAUAUUAAUUUACAUGAAUUAUAGGCUUACAUGUUUGAGUUGUUAAAUAUAUCUAUAUAUAUAUAUAUAUAUAUAUGUGUUAGUCUGGAUUUAAAAAUAUAGACCUUAGAUCAAUUUAAUAUAUAUACAUAUACACGAAUUCUUUAUGUAUAGAUAGAGAUAUGAUGUUUGUAUUACUGAUGUUUAAUGUUAAUUAACGAAUUAAUUAGAAUAUCAUGGCACAUUUGUAACUAAUCUAGUAAUAUAUAGAUCAUUAGUUUGCUCGAUUUAUGAAAUAAAAAAUGUUUGUUUGAUUUUAAGUUUAAGCUUGGACGUAGCAUGUCUUAAAUUUUAAUAUUAGAUAAUACAGAUUUGUUAUUUGUUAUGCAUAUAUAGAAAAAAUGUAACAUUUGUUUUGUGUUUGCUAAUAUAGAAAUAAUAAAGUUUGUCUCGUAUACAUUGUGUGUUUUUUUAAUUUUUAAUUAGAAAUUCGUUUUUGAUUAGUGGGAUAUAUAGAUACAUGAGACUAAUGACAAAUUCUGUAAAUAGUCUAAUAAAUCCUGGGUAAUUAUCUAAAUAGAAGCCAAAUCAUUAUAAGAGCGACACAUCAGCGUGGCAAUCUUGUUAAUAACACAUGAUGGUAAGGUUUUUUUAAAAAAAUAUUUCUCUAUUAAUAUAUAGGGGAUAUAUCUUCAAAAUCUAAUAAUAGUGAAGAACACUCUCCGCCAUUUUCCUAAGCGAACAUAGGCAUCAUUACUUCAUUAGGACACUAGAGAUAAGAGCACAAGCCGUCUUGUAACGGAGAAAUCUUGGAAAUGGAGAUAUGAAUAUUUUUACUUUGUUUUGGAACUGCUUUAUGUAUUCAUCUGUGUUUAACUCGCACACAUUUUCAUCAAAAUCAUUUCAAAGGGUUUGAUUGGUAACUAGGACUCCUUACCGAUCGGUUAAGGGUGUACCGUUUAGUAUUUAACAAUCGCAAAAUUGGAACCGCUAUUUCUUGUCCAUUACCUUUUAACAGUCUUCUAAAAUACGCUAGACGGUAGUCGGGCGGUGGAUCACCGUAUAGCGCCUAACUGUAUAUGCGGAGUAUAUACGGUGAAUAUAUAUUUUUUAAUAUAUAUAUAUAUAUAUAUAUAUAUAUAUAAUAUAAAUAUAUUGCAAAUGGAAUAUAUAUAAUAUCAUAAAAAAACAAUUGUCAAAAAAAAUAAAAGGAGUCUCACGUUAAACUCCAACUCUCAAAAAAAUGAAAACAUAAUGACAACCGUAUUUAGAUAUGCAGCACCAUAUAAGUGGCCAUAUUGAGCCGUAUAACGCCUUAUAAUGGCCGUAUUGAGCCGUAUAACGCCGUAUAAUGGCCGUAUUGAGCCGUAUAGCGCCGUGUAAGUGGCCGUAUUGAACCCAACCGUAUUUGUUAAACGCAUAGCCUAAAAACUGUACAGUUGUCUGCCGUAUAGCGUAUAGCUACCGUAUAUACGGCCGCCUAGGGUGUAUUUUAGAACAUUGUCUUUUAAGUAUUUUAGUAUCGCUUACCGUUUCGUUGAUUGAAAUAUACUCCCUCUGUUUCACAAAAAGUGUCAUUUUAGAGUUUUGCACACAGAUUAAGAAAACAUUAAAUUUUUUGUUUUUUCAAAACAAAAACAUCAUUAACUAUAUACCUAAACAUAAUCUGCCCAAUAGUAAAACAAUCUGCAGAAUACUAAUAGUCAUAAAACAUAAAAAAUCAUUAAAUUUUGCAUUGAAAACCUAAAACGACACUCUUUAUGAAACAAAAAUAAAACCUUAAAACGACACUCUUUAUAAAACGGAGGGAGUAGCGUUUUGAGAAAAUAGACGUUUCUGGUUGCUUCUGAUUUGAAAAAUCGUCGUUUUCACAAUAUUCAAUUGGAGAAUCUUAAGAACUUCAACGAAGCAGCUUCUCCGGAAUUUUAGGCAAACGUGGCAAGAAAAAGCCAAACGGAGAAACAUACACGUGUCCCUCCAUUUACCAAAUGCCACGUGCCCAUUACCGACGAAACAUUCCUUAACCACAGCUGCCCGAAAAAGGACAGAGUCCACAAGCUUCGGAUUGUUCACAAGUAACAUCGAAAAGGUUUAAACUUUCUCGUUUUUUCCUGGAACCCGAUUCGAAGAAAGCAUCAAGACACUUCCUUUCACUGAUCCCUCGAUCCAUUCGUAGGUAAACCAUUUCCAAAACCAUUUUUUUCGAUCCCUCAACUUUGGAUUUUGUUGUGAUCUACCGGUUUUGCUUUUGCCCGAUCGAUCAUCGGAUCACUGUGAUUAGUGUUAUUGUUCCUUUCUUUGUGUAGCUUUCGCUCUUAUGGAAGAUUCUGGAGUGAAUCCAAUGGAUUCACCGUCUAAAGGCAGUGGAUUUGGAGUUUAUGGAAUCAUAGGAGGUGGAAUUGUGGCUUUACUUGUACCAGUGUUACUCUCUGUGGUGUUGAAUGGAAGCAAAAAGGGUAAAAAGAGAGGUGUUCCGAUCAAAGUAGGCGGCGAGGAAGGUUACACGAUGCGUCAUGCUCGUGCUCCUGAUUUGGUUGAUGUUCCUUGGGAAGGAGCUACUACUAUGCCUGCUUUGUUUGAGCAGUCUUGUAAGAAGUAUUCGAAAGAUCGGUUACUUGGGACUAGAGAGUUUAUAGAUAGGGAAUUUGUAACUGCUAGUGAUGGGAGGAAGUUUGAGAAGCUUCAUUUAGGAGAGUAUAAAUGGCAAAGUUAUGGAGAGGUUUUUGAACGUGUUUGUAACUUUGCGUCGGGGUUAGUUAAUGUCGGACAUAAUGUUGAUGAUCGUGUUGCUAUCUUUUCGGAUACUCGAGCUGAGUGGUUUAUCGCGUUUCAGGUUUGUUUAUUAGCUAAUGGUUGCAAUUUGUUUUUGUGGGUUUGGUUUGUAUUUGUUUGAUGAAAUGGGUUUUAUUGUUGCAAAAUUUCAGGGAUGUUUCAGGCAGAGCAUAACCGUUGUUACUAUAUAUGCUUCUUUAGGAGAAGAGGCUUUGAUUUACUCACUCAAUGAGGUUGGUAGGGGAAGUUUUGUAUGUUUAUGUUUUUUAUUAGUAAACUUGGUUGUUGGACCUCUGAAUCUUGGUAUCUUAUUGUUGACAGACUCGAGUAUCAACCUUGAUAUGCGACUCGAAACAACUUAAGAAGUUGUCUGCAAUACAAUCAAGCUUGAAAACUGUGAAGAAUAUUAUUUACAUUGAAGAAGAUGGAGUAGAUGUUACUUCUAGUGACUUAAAUAGUAUGGGUGACAUCACUGUUUCGUCGAUCUCUGAAGUUGAGAAACUGGGGCAGAAGAACCAUGUUCCACCGAUCUUACCUUCGAAGAAUGGAGUUGCUGUUAUAAUGUUUACCAGUGGUAGUACCGGUCUACCAAAGGUAUGUGUUGGACUGUGUCUACUCUCUUCUUUAUGUGUUUUGUUUACCUGAAUUCUUGAUUGAUGUACCUUACAUUGUGUGCAUUCACACAGGGAGUUAUGAUUACCCACGGAAAUCUUGUCGCAACUGCUGCAGGAGUUAUGAAGGUGGUUCCAAAGCUGGAUAAGAAUGAUACAUAUAUUGCAUACUUACCUUUGGCUCAUGUGUUUGAGCUGGAAGCUGAGGUAUGUUGCUAUGCUCUCUCUCACUCUCCAUGUCUCUCUUAUUUUAAUUGCUACCUUGUUGUCUUGCUCUUUCUUACCAAAUCAUGGUUUUUCAGAUUGUGGUCUUUACCUCAGGUAGUGCCAUCGGUUACGGCUCAGCAAUGACUUUAACUGACACUUCAAAUAAAAUUAAGAAAGGAACCAAAGGAGAUGUUUCAGCUCUGAAGCCAACUAUAAUGACUGCAGUUCCAGCUAUUCUGGAUCGUGUCCGAGAAGGAGUUCUUAAAAAGGUACCAUCUUAGCGACGACAAUGUUGUGUGUAUUUUUGGACUUACUUACUUGAUCACUUAUAUCUGUGUAUGUAAUAAUCUAGGUUGAGGAAAAGGGAGGGAUGGCGAAGACCCUUUUUGACUUUGCAUACAAGCGCCGGUUAGCAGCUGUGGAUGGAAGUUGGUUUGGUGCCUGGGGUUUGGAGAAAAUGUUUUGGGAUACUCUUGUCUUCAAGAAAAUACGCGCUGUGCUUGGAGGACACAUCCGAUUUAUGCUCUGUGGAGGAGCUCCUCUAUCUCCUGAUUCGCAACGCUUCAUCAAUAUCUGCAUGGGGUAAAGUGGUCUCACAUCUGACAUUUUCAUAUGAGUCUUGUCCCAUUUUGGCUUAGGCAAACGCCAUUAAAAUCAAAUGGAUUCUGUGUUACUUAUUAGUGAUGUUUUGAUAUGUUUGAACUUGAACCCACUGUCUUUUGCUUGGUGAAACUCAUCUGGUCUGUUUUUUUUCUGUAUUCUUCUUUGCAACUUCACAAUGCUUGGGCUUAGUUUGUUCUGAUAGUGAUUGCGCAUUGUUUUCUGUUAGGUCUCCCAUCGGCCAAGGAUAUGGAUUGACUGAAACAUGUGCUGGAGCUACGUUUUCUGAGUGGGACGAUCCUGCUGUUGGCCGUGUGGGACCUCCACUUCCAUGCGGCUAUGUUAAGGUUUGCAGACAAUCUUUAACACAACACUUUGAAAAUGUGUAAAUUUGUUGUAAUCAUGAGUAACAAAUUUCAUCUUGCAGCUCGUUUCUUGGGAAGAAGGUGGCUACAGAAUUUCAGACAAACCAAUGCCCAGAGGGGAGAUUGUGGUAGGUGGUAACAGUGUAACAGCAGGUUACUUCAACAAUCAAGAAAAAACCGAUGAGGUUUACAAGGUAAAUCACAUUCAGGGAGCUUAAUUGAUCCGCUUGGUAUAUAGAUUUCUGAGGAUCCAUGUGACAAUUUCAGGUCGAUGAGAAGGGCACGAGGUGGUUUUACACCGGAGAUAUUGGGAGAUUCCACCCUGAUGGAUGUCUCGAAGUCAUCGACAGAAAGAAAGAUAUUGUUAAACUUCAACAUGGGGAAUACGUAUCCCUUGGAAAGGUUUGCCCAUAAAACUUAAAUUCCACAUAGAGGAUGGUAUAUGAUAAAAUCUCCUCAUGCUUUUGCAUUGUCUGGAUCACACAAUUCACAGGUGGAGGCAGCUUUGGGUUCGAGCAAUUACGUUGAUAACAUCAUGGUUCACGCGGACCCAAUGAACAGCUACUGUGUAGCUCUUGUUGUUCCAUCACGAGGAGCGUUAGAGAAAUGGGCAGAGGAAGCAGGAGUUAAACACAGUGAAUUCGCUGAGCUAUGCGAGAACAGUGAAGCAGUCAAGGAGGUUCAACAAUCUCUUACCAAGGUUUGUAUUUUCAAUAGCUGUCUCAGGUUUUUCAGUUACUUCUGGUAGGUAUAUGUUUUCCAAAACUGUUAUUAUUUCAGGCCGGAAAGGCGGCAAAGCUCGAAAAGUUUGAACUUCCAGCAAAGAUCAAGUUGCUGCCGGAGCCGUGGACACCGGAGUCGGGAUUGGUCACAGCUGCUCUUAAGAUAAAGAGGGAACAAAUAAAGUCCAAGUUCAAAGAUGAUCUCAACAAGUUGUAUGCCUAAAAACUUUUCUUGGACUUGUGACAAACUCCAUAUACUUCAGUUUGACUUUCCUCAUUUUGUUAUUAUCUACAUUAAACUUGGAGUUUUUCUCCUUUUGUUAAUUCAAUAUCUAUAUGAUUCCACUUCCAUCAGCUAUAGAAGAGAGUAAAUCAUUGUGGUAUAUAAGGAGCUGAAGUAGUUUGCUCUUGUAGAAGCAAAUCAAAGCAAUGACUAAUUUUAUCGCGGUUUUGUUGAUUAUUCGAAAAGUAGACAGUUUUUUAGCUUCGAGGGAUCGAAAAACCUCCUUUAGGUAAAACUUCUAUACUUUCUUAACCAUAAGAAAUUCUCUGUAUACAAAGGUACAAAUGAAAUCCUCCUUAUGAUUGUGACGUUGGUGGUUUAUCAUGUUUGAUAAUGUCAUCAUCAGCAGAAACUUGAUGGUCUCUGGAAAACCUUCGUCGGUUUUCUGGACAAUCCAUGAAAAUCGUUUCGUCAUCGAGCGUUGAUGUUACUAUUCAUUUGGGUCAGAUGAUGCAGAAUCUUUGGGAGCUAUUAUCGUCUCUGACACUGCUGGUCGUAGGAGAAGAUACAAAGAAGGUCCCAAGAAUGGAAUCACCGAUACCGGUAAAAGCCAAAUGCCUUUAUCAAACCUGAUAAAGAAGCAGUGCGUUUAGAGAUAUGGAAAAGGUUGAGUUAAACACUGUCAAAUAGUUUUACAUAGAACUCACCAUUUUCGGGUGGUCAUGUCGUUGUAAACCCAAAACGGAGCGAAUGCAGACAGUAAACAGAAAUCAAGACUCGUUACAUGAAUCUGCAUUUUAGAAUGUUAAGUCCUGUUAUGUCAACAAGACUAGCAAGAACAUGAGUUCAUUUCUGGAAAAAAGGAGAAUAUCGGGCUUACGAAUUUGCUCUCUCGAAAGUACUGAUAGAACUCUGUCCAAUCACCGGCAUUACCAACUACUGAAUAAAGAAUUAUACCCAGUCCUGCAACAAGAGUUACCUGAUGUAUAAACUGUGUUAACUCCAAUAACCAAAAACCAAAGGCGAGAGACACUUUGCUUUUUUCUUCUAGUUCAGUGAUAACACAUCAAGAUUUAGAGAAGUGAGAGUGAGAAAGAUCUCUUACCCCAGCAGUUGCUUUUGAUUCCAGAACAUUCAAAGGCCAUUGUCUCAGUUCAGUCUCUGAAACAGGAGGAGAAGGAGGAUUCCACAGUGCAAAAUAAGGUAACAAAGCGUAUACACCACCGAAAAACGAAAGCACGACAAAAGGCCAAGCCGGAGUUUUACUGUCGAACAAAGGCAUCUAUUAGUGUUCCUAAAAGAGCUUCACUUGAACAAACUCUAAUAUGGUAAACUCUCUAAAGAGGACAAUGGAGAUGAUACCUUCGAGCAGUGGGAAGCAAGAGCAUGCCAUAAACCAAAGGCCACAAACCCAUAAUGUACCAUAACCCAACAAGGAUCUGAUUCAUUCUAAAACCAUCAUCACCUUUCAAAUUCAAAAGCUUUUUCAAAAAGUACAAGUCUUGUGUCUGCAAUGAAAAACCUAAGAUUGUGAUUGCAAAAACCACACAUUUACGAGAUUUGACUAAUAAGUAUGUGAAGAUGCGUACCGGUGUUUGAUCAGGAGCGAGAUUGAAGCAAUAGUACAAAAGCGCACCCCAUAACGCAAAAAGCAAAAUUGAGCUUGACCAAUCUCUUCCUUCUUCUUGAAUUUGAGUUUUCUCUGGUUCUUCUGGGUUGUUUAAAGAGCUUUUGCAGAUAUGGAAGAAUGUGUCUUUCCUCGAGAAACGGUGAUUGUGAUGGAGAAUUUUAUCGGAUUUUAGAAAAGUUGAAGAAGAAGAAGCUCGUGAUUGUAGAAGAAGGAGGUUUUUUGGGGAUUGUCUUAAGGAUUGGUGUGGUCUCGAGGGUUUAAGAAGAAGAGGAAGACGAGAGAAGUUGCAGGAGAUGAGGUUAAUGCUUUCCAACAUUUUUCUUUCUCUUCCUCUUUUUUUGUCAAUAUUUGUUUUAGACCACCAAAAAAAAAAAAAAAAAGGAAAGUGUUAUAAUAAUUACUUUAUUAUAUGGUGUAUAUAAAUAUAAAUAAUAGAGAAAGAAUUAUACCUGUAGAAGGAUCGGGAUACUGAAAAUAAAAAGAUGAGAGGAGGAGAGAGAGUUCUUAUAACUUCUUAUUGUUGAAGUAUGAAAUGUGAUUUACAACGAACGAAUUCGUUCGUUUAUAUAGGCAGGAAAAAGUAAGUUACUAUGCAUGCAUAGUGACGGUAGGCUCCACACAAAUUAUAUUUUAAUCUUAAUCUUUUGAACGCGUAGUGUCUAUUGUUGACGCUGUAUUUUUCUGACUUUUGUAACACUCCCCCUUGGAGACCAGUGUCACUAUGUCUCUUGCGUAAUAUCUUCUGUUGUCUCGUUAAAAACCUUUCUAGGAAAACCCGGUGGGAAAAACCAUAGUAGGUAAAAAGAGUGCAACCGCGCAAGCUCCCCCUCGAAUGAUCAGGAUCAUAACUUACAAGUCUUGUUGACGACGCAUUCCAAUGUUAUGAACAUGUUUCCUGAAUAUAGAGGUGGGUAAUGAUUUCGUGAAGAGAUCCGCAGAAUUCUCGGAUGAUCGGACAUAUCUUACUUCAAUGUCUUUAUUCUUCACGAGCUCUUGGGUGUAUGAAAAGAACUUAGGAGGGAUAUGUUUGGUUCUAUCGCUUUUGAUAUAUCCUUCCUUUGUCUGAGCAACACAUGCAGCAUUGUCUUCAUACAAGAUAGUUGGCUCCGUAUUCAGACGAAUUCCACUACUCGUUUGAAUGUGUCGACUUAUUGAUCGUAGCCACACGCAUUCUCUACUCGCUUCAUGGAGUGCGAUGAUUUCAGCAUGAUUUGAAGAAGUAGCUACAAGUGUCUGCUUCUGAGAACGCCAUGAUAUAGCAGUACCUCCAAUCGUGAAUACGUAUCCUGUUUGGGAUCGAGCUUUGUGUGGAUCUGAUAAAUAUCCUGCAUCUGCAAAACCAAUCAUUUGACCAUUUAUAUUUUUAGGAUAAAAUAACCCUAAAUCAAUAGUCCCUUGAAGAUAACGAAAGACAUGUUUAAUUCCGUUCCAAUGUCUUCGUGUAGGAGAUGAACUAAAUCUAGCCAAAAGAUUGACUGAAAAUGAUAUAUCAGGUCGAGUGCAAUUUGCAAGAUACAUAAGGGCUCCAAUUGCACUUAGAUACGGUACUUCAGGACCGAGUAUCUCUUCAUUCUCCUCAUGCGGUCGAAAUGGAUCACUUUCAACGUUAAGUGAUCUAACGACCAUAGGAGUACUCAGAGGAGUUGCCUUAUCCAUGUUGAAUCGUUUUAGCACUCUUUUAGUAUACGUGGAUUGGUGCACAAAUAUACCCUUUUGGGAAUGUUCAAUUUGUAGGCCAAGACAAAACUUUGUUUGUCCGAGAUCUUUCAUCUCGAAUUCCCCUUUUAAAUAGUUUGUUGCUUUCUGUAUUUCAUCUUGAGUCCCAAUUAUAUUUAGAUCAUCAACAUAUACUGCGAUUAUCACAAAUCCGGAUUUUGUUUUCUUGAUGAAAACACAUGGGCAUAUAGGAUCGUUCACAUAUCUUUCUUUCGUUAAAUGUUCACUGAGACGAUUAUACCACAUUCGCCCAGAUUGCUUUAACCCAUAAAAUGAUCUUUGCAACUUUAUUGCACAUAACUCUUUGGGUUUAGAUUUCAAUGCUUCUGGCAUAUUAAACCCGUCGGGAACUCUCAUAUAGAUAUCUGUAUCUAAUGAUCCAUACAAAUAUGCUGUAACAACAUCCAUGAGACGCAUUUCUUAAUUUUUAUGAGCCGCUAGACUCAUCAAGAAUCUAAACGUUAUUGCAUCCAUAACGGGGGAAUAUGUUUCCUCAUAAUCAAUCCCGGGUCUUUGAGAAAAUCCUUGAGCUACGAGACGAGCCUUGUAUCUCGUAAUUUCAUUUUUCUCAUUUCGUUUUCUAACGAAAACCCACUUGUAUCCAACCGGUCUCACAUCUUCAGGUGUGAGUAUAAUAGGUCCGAAUACAUUUCGCUUAUUAAGUGAAUCAAGUUCGACUUGGAUGGCAUCCUUCCAUUUUAUCCAGUCGUGUCUCUUUUGACAUUCAUAUACAGACUGUGGUUCUGGAUCUUCGUUUUCCUCAUUUAUUUCUUUUGCUACGAGGUAUGAGAAAACGUCAUCGACUUCAUCCAUUUUAUUUCGAUCCCAGAUCUUUCCAUUAUGGAUAUAGUUGAUAGAAAUCUCAUGAUUUCCUUCAGGCUCAUGAUGCUCAUCAUUGUCAUUAGACUCAUGAUUCGUUUCUUCCAAAAUGCUUUCUGCUAUUUUGGGAAUAUCGAGCUUUUCAGCUUCCUUUCGCUUUCUAGGAUUUUUAUCCUUAGAACCAACUGGUCUACCACGCUUCAGGCGUGUUCUAGACUCACGUGUAUCGUCUCCUUUUCCAUGUUCUUGUGGAAUUUCAAUCCAAGCAGGAACAUUUGCAGCUGGAAUAUGUGAUUUAGUUAUCGUUUUAGUAUCUGCAAAAGCAUCAGGUAAUUGAUUUGCUAUACUUUGUAAAUGCAUAAUUCGUCGAACUUCCAGUUCCGACUGUUUCGUAGGAGGAUCGAGAUGUAACAAAGAUGGUACACUCCACUUUAUAUUCUUUCCUACUUGUUUGUUUUCUCCCCUAGAACUGGGAACUCUUUUUAUCAAAAUGACAGUCAGCAAAGCGUGCCGUAAAGAGGUCACCAGUUCGAGGUUCUAAAUACCUUAUAAUAGAUGGAGAAUCAUAACCCACAUAUAUCCCUAACCUUCGUUGGGGUCCCAUCUUUGUACGUUGUGGCGGUGCUACAGGCACAUAUACCGCACAACCGAAAAUCUUUAGAUGAGAAAUAUUUGGUUCAUGACCAAAUACUAGUUGUAAUGGGGAAUAUUUAUGAUAUGCACUUGGUCUCAUUCGGAUAAGUGCUUCAGCAUGCAAAAUAGCGUGUCCCCAUACAGAGGUUGGGAGUUUUGAUCUCAUGAUCAAUGGUCUUGCAAUUAAUUGCAGGCGUUUAAUUAAAGAUUCAGCCAAACCAUUUUGUGUGUGAACAUGAGCUACAGGAUGUUCUACUUCAAUUCCCGUUACUAUACAAUAAUCAUUAAAAGCUUGGGAUGUGAAUUCACCAGCGUUGUCUAGUCUAACUCUUUUAAUAGGGUAAUCAGAAAACUGAGCCCUCAGUUUGAUUAUUUGAGUUAGAAAUCUCGCAAAUGCAAUAUUUCGAGAUGAUAAUAGACAAACAUGUGACCAUCUGCUGGAUGCGUCAAUUAAUACCAUGAAAUAGUGGAAUGGUCCACAUGGUGGAUGUAUUGGUCCACAAAUAUCUCCUUGAAUUCGUUCAAGGAAUUUUGGUGAUUCUUUAUCAAUUUUGGCUGGCGAUGGCCUUAUGAUAAGUUUUCCAAGAGAACAUGCAGCACAUGUCUUUUUAUUCCCAUGAUAUAUCUCCUGGAUUUUCAAUGGGUGUCUAUGUGAGCUCUCUAUGAUUUUUCGCAUCAUCGAGGUGCCUGGAUGACCGAGGCGAUCAUGCCAUAAUGUGAAAUCUUCUGGAUUUCUUUUAAUCACUAGAUGCGAUUCGAUUGCACUUAUAUGAGUAUAAUGCAAUCCUGAAGGAAGUUUUGGAAAUUUUUCCAAUAUAAGCCUUUUUCCCGAUUUAUCAGAAGUUAUGUACAUAUACUUCUUUUCAUUCUCAGUUGCAGACUGAGUAUCAUAUCCUUGAAGGUAUAUGUCUUUGAAACUCAACAAAUUCCUUUUAGAUUUUGGAGAAUACAAGGCAUUUUUUAUGGAAAACUUGGUUCCAUUAGGCAACAUAAAGUUGGCCAUACCAGUUCCUUCAAUCACGUCUACAGGACCUGAUAUUGUAUUGACAAUCAUGUUUGUCGGUUUUAAGUUAGAGAAAUAUCUUUUGUCCUUUAGAAUAGUGUGUGUUGUCCCACUAUCUGGUAUGCAAAUUUCUUGAGCCAUUUCCUUGGAGAUUGUUUCAUCCAUUUCUGUGAUUAAGAUAAACAUCAAUAAAAAGAAAGUAAAUUUUAUUCAUAAAAGGAAAACACACAAUAAUUAUACAUUAAAUUGUUGUUAAAACAACAUUAUUUUUUUUAAAAUAACAAAAGCAUAAUAUUAUAUAUAUGACAUAACUAGAGACUAUUUCAGCAGUCUCAAUACAAGCUCUUUAGUUAACCGCAAGAGCGGUCUAAUCCAAAUCAUUUGCAAAGGAGGGAGAAUCGAGAUACGAUGUAUCCUCGAAGUUUUCUGCUAAAUUGACUUCUUUCCCUUUUCCUUUCGUGGAAUUCAUGUACAACUUACAAAGAUGUGGAGGAGUUCGACAAGUACGGGCCCAAUAUCCCUUAGAUCCACAUCUAUAACACACAUUCUCACUCUUCUGGGUGGAAUUUUCUUGGUGUUCCUUCCCUUUUGAAUCAUUUUGAGGACGAACCCAUUUGAACGACCCCCUUCCACGUGAGUUGUAAUUUCUUCCACGCCCAUGAUUAAAACGACCACCACGACCCCGAUAUGAUUGAUUCCCUUUCUCAGGAUAGUUUACAUCCUUUUUCUCUGGAUUUUUUACAUCCGUUGCAUUCACUUCAGGGAAUGCUUUGGUUCCUGCAGGCCGAGCAUUGUGGUUUUUGAUGAGAAGUUCAUUAUUCUUCUCUGCUAUCAUAAGCGCCACAAUCAGCUCGGAAAACAUUUUGUACUUGCAGUUCCUGUAUUGUUCUGCAAGAACAUAGUGCUCCUUAUGGAAUGUAAGGUAGGUUUUAUUGAGCAUUUCGUCUUCGCUCACUUUCUUACCACAGUAUUCCAAUUGAGCCACGAUUCUUAACAUGGUAGAAUUAUACUGUGCUACCUUGUUAAAAUCUAGGAACCUCAAAUUUGCCCAUUCGUCAAGGGCAUGUGGGAGAGUUAUUGCUUUCUGGUUGUCAAACCUAUUUUUUAAAGCUUUCGACAACUCCACGGGGUCUUUUACAUUUGCAUAAUCAUGCAUCAGAUUUUCAUCUAGAUGCUUUCUUAGAAAAAUUAUCGCCUUUGCCUUUUCAUUGGCAGGUGAUUCAUUUUUCUCUUUUAUCGUCUCUAAUAGAUUCUGCGAAUCUAAAUGAAGUUCCACAUCAGUGGUCCAUGCUAUGUAAUUUGCUCCAGUGAUUUGAAGAGCUUGGAUCUUAAGCUUUUCAAUGUUUGCCAUUUGUUUUCUAAAAAUAAAAACAUAGAAUAUUAUUAGAAAUCUUUAUUUAAUUUAUUUUAAAAUAUAUUUAAAAUGAACCGUUUACAUUAAUAAUGCAAGCGAUUACAAAAAGAAAAAGCGUACAAACAAGUAAACUAAUAGUCAAACGAAAUUCUUGCGGAGUAAAAUCUACAACACAAAGAUUAUAGAUACACAUAAUAAUGAUUCCAAAAACAAAUAUUAAAAAUAAUCGAAACAUUCUUCAAAACUUCAAAACUUCAAAAUUCUUCUUCUUUUUUCGGAGAGAUUUUUUUUAGAGAGAUGAAAAAAUUUUGUUUUGAUGAAAUGAAUGAGAAAAUGAAUGAAUUUAUAGAUUGAAAAAUACUAUUCCUAGCCGUUGGAAAAAGUUGAAUUUUUUGAAAAAAUUUUGAAAUUUUUCUUUGAGACCGUUGGCGGAAAAAGAUUUAAACAAAAAAAUUAAUCUGAAAAAUUAGAGAUCAAUAAGAUAAAAAUUAUCGAUUCAGAUAAAAAUAUUUAUACAGGUGAAUAAACCAUAAUAUAAACAAAUAAUUCACAGUGAUAUUAUGGUGACGAAUUAUCCACAUAGAAACAGUAAAUAUAUAUGUGGCGGCUCAGCCGACCGGUAGUAGAAAUAAAUAUUUAAAGCAGUGCAUAAAACUAAGGCGGCUCAGCCGACCGGCAACAGAAAUAAAUAUCUAAAGCAGUACAUAAAAUUAAGGCGGCUCAGCCGACCGGUAGCAGAAAUAAAUAUUUAAAGCAGUGAAUAAAAUUUCAGGUGGCUCAGCCAACCAUUAACAGAAAAUAAUUAAUUAUGGUGCAUGAAGUAAUUUCAGGUGGCUCAGCCAACCAUAUAGUUUCUUUUAUUUAUUUAUAUAAUUUUCUUUUCUCUUUUUUUUUUCUCAUAUUUUUUCUUUUAACGAGGCGACAUACUGGCCGGUAUAUUACCGUAUUUUUUUUUCAGCGAUCAUAGAAUGAUCGUGCUGAUAACGUGUUAUAAUAAUUACUUUAUUAUAUGGUGUAUAUAAAUAUAAAUAAUGGAGAAAGAAUUAUACCCGUAGAAGGAUCGGGAUACUGAAAAUAAAGAGAUGAGAGGAGGAGAGAGAGUUCUUAUAACUUCUUAUUGUUGAAGUAUGAAAUGUGAUUUACAACGAACGAAUUCGUUCGUUUAUAUAGGCAGGAAAAAGUAAGUUACUAUGCAUGCAUAGUGACGGUGGGCUCCACAUAAAUUAUAUUUUAAUCUUAAUCUUUUGAACGCGUAGUGUCUAUUGUUGACGCUGUAUUUUUCUGACUUUUGUAACAGAAAGGACUUUCAGGAUUUAUUAGAAUUAUAUUUUGGGAUUAGCUCUCGCGACGAUGGCUAAAAGAAGAAGUUUUGAUCGAAUAAACCCCUCAAAGCCACAUGUCAUCAACACAUGUAUGAUGAGCACCGAAAGAUUACCAUUCGUCAUCAUUUGCCGUCGAAACCUUCGAUUUUUUUUUUUUUCAACUCAAAAAAGUCAUUUCUCAAAAAUGUUGUUACGAUGCGAUACAAACUUUUCGUGUCAAGUUAUCCGCUUUUAUUUUUGUACUUCGAGGGAUUAGUGAUAAUUUAAAAUUUGAAAAUUCCUCCUUGUCGCUCUUAAAAUCUUCCAAAUAUACUGAAAAGGCCGGCCAUUCGGUUGACGAAGACACCAUCUUCACCAGGUCUGAACAGUCUGUAUAAAAAAACUACAUAUUGGUUGUCGGUGCCAAUCAUACACUUCAUCACCCAGAGACGAGCUUCCACUUCUUUAUGUAGUGGAAAAAGACUUCUUCAGAUGUUGGCAGCUCCCAUGGUUGGCGUCUCUCCAUGUCGGAACCUUCGAUUCUUUAGGUAAAUGAAAUUCAUUUGUUUUUCACCGGCAAUUAAAAAACAGCAUCAUGAAUAAAUUAAAUACAGAUCAAUAAAACUCAAAAAGUUGCUAAACUCAUAAAAAAAAAAAUUGAGAUCCAGCAAAACGGUAAAAGUAAAUGAAAUUAAGCGGCACAUUAUUUGGGUUUCUUUUGGGCUUUAGUUUAUUUUCGUAAUCCAUUUUAUAUUGUUAGAGCACCUCCAAUGGGAGGUUCUCUUCUAUAUUUUGAUAAGUUCUCAUCUGAUUUUGGAAAAAAUAAUAAUUCAAAACUGAAUAAAGAUGAGAGAAUCGAUUCUCUUGAGGGAGUUUUGAGAUUUUGAGAGAGCCGGACACGUGUCAGUGUUCGAUUGGAGGGAGUGUUUUAACAAAAGAAAAAAAAACACUCAAUUUUUUUAGUUCUCUCUCUCGUAAAAAAAAACACUCUCUCUCUCUCUCGUUAUCGCAACUGCGAAAAAAAAACUGAUGAACAAACCUCAGAAACAUCGCGAUUUCCUGAGAUUCCGAUGAGUCGACACCGGAAUCGUGGUUUGUGAGACUUACCUGCCGCCGGGAUCAUCAGCUGGAUUCACGGUAAAGACCAUCGGCGAAUGGAGUCAAAACAAAUCGAAGAUUGGCGAUGGAGAAGAAGGAUUCGUUGAAGGAUGGUCCAAUUUCUUGUUCCAGGUAUGAAUCUAGCCCGUUUCCCAUGUGUAUCGUGACUUAGUUCGUUGUAUUUUGUGGUCUCGAUAGAAAUUAGGGUUUGAACAAAAUUAGAGUUUUGAUUUGUAAAUUAGGGUUCUUCAUUUUUAGCGACAAUAGGGUGAUUAUUAAUCAAUUUGGAGGCUUUUUGUUUGUAAAUUUUCCAUGAUUGUUGACGAAUUUGUCAUAGAUUGUUUGAUUUAGGGUUCAUAGUUUCGGAGAAAAAAAUUAUAAUUUGGUUUUGUCAUUUGAGAAUUAUUUGGGGGCAUUGAAUAGCUUAGGGAGAGUUCUACAAUUCAACUUAGGCUAUUUUGGUUUCUGGGUUCUUUUUUAUUUUGCACCAUGUCUUGUUCCUUGAUCGGAUUCUGAUUUUAACAGAUUAUGCUUUGCAAGCUAGUUGAGUCUUGAGAUCUAAUAGAGUAGUUUAUUGAAAGAAGAGAUAGAAUUCCAUAAAUGGUUGUCUCUGUUUUCAUAUGAUUUUGUCCUAUAAAUGGUUGUUGUCUUGUAACCAAAAUUUAUUGAAAGAAGUGAUAAAGUUUUGUGAAUACCUUUAGGUCUUGUGGAUUAUUUGGAUUUGUGACAUUGUUCUCUUUGUUUUGAUUGCUUAGUUCUAUUGUGCAUCUAGAGACUUUGUGACCCUUGUUCUAAUCAAAGACAGUCAAUUUUAAAUAUUCUAGGAUUUUUGUUACCAAUGUUGAGAUGGAUCUUUGUGGAGAUAGCUUGAUGCACCUACAGCUAGUAUCCCAUUGGCGCUUCAGAGUUUGUUUUACAAGCUUCAGUGUAACGACAUUGGCGCUGACAAAGUCGUUUGGUUGGGAUACAUAUGAUUCUUUGUUCUCUUUAAUGCUUUGUAUCACUCACUCUCUUAAACACAAGCACAAAAAUAACCUUGCUCUCUCAUCCUCUCAAGUCUUUGGUUAGUUUCUUGUUUUAUCACAAAGAUAUAAACGUUUUAGUUAGAGAGAAGAGAGAAAAUAUUAAUUGUCUACAUUUUGUUUAUUGGAUCACAAGAUAAUUCUUACAAGACACAACACACACAUACUUACACUACAUCUUUUACUUGCACCUCACAUGAACCCAUACUUUAAACCAUACUUCCAUGAAUACAAGUACCAAUCACCUCCCAUGAAUCAAAGAAAACAUCAAUUAAAAAUGGAAGCUUAAGAUUGAUUGAAGAUUCUUGUUCCACCAAUGACCCGUGUUAAACCCUUGUGUUUAAACCUUUGUGCAAUAAUUAUUGAGUUUUAUGAAAUAAAAUAUUUUUUAAAAAAACAUCAAUAUUUUUUAAAAAACAAAACCUUUUUUUUUGCACAUCUUUUUAAAAAUGUUUGAAAUAAUGUAUGUUUAAUAUUUUCUGAAAUGUAAUAAUUAUUAAGUUUUAUGAAAAAAUAUUUUAAUUAUUUUUUUUUCUAAGAGAACCUCACUAGAGAACCUACCAUUGGACUACAGAAUUUUUUAAAAAAAAAUAAAAGUUCUCAUCUCACAUUUUCAAAAAAUUUAUAAUAAAAAACUUGAGAGAGACUCAUGGAGAGAGCUCCCCAUUAGAGAUGCUCUUAGAGCUUUUCUUUCGGCCAUGUUUGUAAUGUUCCCAUUAAUAAAAUAUAAUCUUGCGAGCAAAAAAAGAUAUUUUGUGAAUUCAAAAUAUAUUUUAGGAACUAUUUCCUAGACUUAGGUUAAGCAUUUUAUCCACAGGAAUAAGACGUUUUUGCCCUAAUUGGUCGACAUUUUGGCUGCUUGAAUUAUAGCUUAUGAUGAGCGACCGCUUGUACCUUCGCAUAACUUUGGUGGUUUAUAGUUUUGAUAAUUGGUUUCUCUAAACUAUUUUUAUGUGUUGUUUUCAAAUAUAUGAGUUUUCUAUAAAACCAUAAACUGAAAACAGUAGUACAAACUUACAGGAACUUUAAAUUUUAAAUGUUAAAUCAAAAUCUCUAAAUUUUAGAUAUUACUCUUUGUUUCAUUAAAACUCAAAAUGAUUUUUAAUAUGAAACUGGUAUUCAUUUUACUUUUUCUUAUAUACUCUUUCUGUUUCACAAAAAGUGACAUUUUGAUACAUUUUAAGACAUGAAUUAAAUAUACAAAUAUACACUUAUUUAAUAUACCCCUAAUAAUUUAAAUACAAAAGAUGUAGUUUUGGAUAAAAGUAGAAAUUAGUUACAAAAAUUGCAUUGAAAAUGUAAAACGUCAUUUUCUUUUAAACAAAGAAAUAACUCUAGAACGACACUCUUUGUGAAAGGGAGGGUAUAAUCUAAUGAAAUAUAUCAUAAAUAACAAAGCACAAACUCAAUAUUUUUUUUUAUUUUGUUAUACAUAUACAGUAAAACCUCUAUAAAUUGAUAAUGUUGGAACCGAGAAAUUCUAUUAAUUUAUAGAGGUAUUAAUUUAUCGAUAAAUUAAUAAUUAUCAAUUUAUAGAGAGAUUUUACUAAUUUUAUAAAAAAAAAUUAUAAAUCUACCUGAAAAGCAGUUUUUUCUUUAUAAUCAAUUUCUUUCCGAAACCAAUUACAAGUAGAAAAUCAAUCAUUAAGUUUAAAAGACAACACAAACUUUUUCGAGGUGGUAAAAAUAUUAAAAUUAAACUCUACCAAAAAUUAAUACAAAUUUAAGAAAAACAAACAAUACUAGAGUCAUAUUUCAAUAAAAAUUUUAAAUAUUAUAUAUAUAUAUAUAUAUAUAUAUAUAUAUAUAUAUUGAUAAAUUUAUAUAAUUAUUAAUUUAUAAUAUUGAUGGGACCAUAUGUUUACAUAGGAUUUUUAAAAAAAUUAUUAUCUUAUUAAUUUAUCGAUUUAUGUUAUUUUUUACACUGGUCCCAAUUCGGGACCGGACGAAAUUAUUAAUUUAGAGAGAUUAUUAAUUUAUCGAGUAUUUAUUUAUAGAAGUUUUACUGUAUAUAUAUAUAUAUAUAUAUAAGCAUUUAUUUAUUUUAUCCUAAAAUAUAAAUAUCGAUCGCAAAAUAUAAAUAUCCUAAAAUAUAAAUAUCCAAUUAAACAGUUCCAGAUUCUUUAUUCGCAAAAGUGUUUAAAGGACGGUAUUUUAGGAAAUCCAAUCCUUUGGAAAAUAUAAAAUCAUAUUACCCAUCAUAUGGAUGGCGAAGUAUAUGUUCAGCUAGAUCUUUGGUUAAUAAAGGACUCAUUAAAAGAGUCGGAUCUGGGACAUCCAUCUCGGUGUGGGAGGAUCCCUGGAUUCCAGCUCAAUUCCCGAGACCAGCAAAAAGUAAUGGUUCAGUUGCUGACCCAUCUUUAAAAGUUAAAGACCUUAUAGAUAGUCGAUCAAACUUUUGGAAUAUUGAUCUCUUAAAAGCGAUCUUUAAUCCAGAAGAUGUCGCUCUAAUAAGCGCCAUACCUAAGGGUGCGCCAACAAAAGAAGAUUCUUUGGAUUGGCAUUUUACAAAAUCCGGAAAAUAUACAGUCAAAUCGGGAUAUCAUUCUGCACGGAUGGAGAAGUCGGAGACCAAUUCAAACUAUUUUGGCCCUAACAUCAACCCAUUAAAAGCAUAUUCUUGGCAAGUGCAGUGUCCACCUAAGAUACGCCAUUUCAUAUGGCAAAUCUUAACGGGAUGUGUACCGGUUACGGAAAAUUUACGGAAAAGAGGAAUUGCUUGUGACAGGGGAUGUGCCAGAUGUGGGGCAUCAGAGGAAACGAUCAAUCAUACACUCUUUCAGUGCCACCCGGCACGGCAGAUUUGGGCAUUGUCACAGAUUCCUACGGCUAUGGGGAUUUUCCCCACGGAAUCUAAUUUUACGAAUUUGGAUCACUUAUUUUGGAGAAUACCUACAGAAUUUGAUUCAUCGGCCUUCCCAUGGAUUAUUUGGUAUAUUUGGAAAGCAAGGAAUGAAAAGAUCUUUGAAAACAUAGAUACAGACCCAGCAGAAGUAUUACGAUUAGCGGAAAAAGAGGCACAAUUGUGGCAGUCAGCUCAAAUUGAGCUCCAUAAUGAGAAUCAUGGUUCUGUGAACUUGGUAAAUCAAGAUCGAGUGAGAGCUAUUUCACUUGAGACGGAGUAUUCGGGAUACCGUUGUUUUGUGGAUGGAUCAUGGAAAGAAAGUGAUAAGUUCUCCGGUACAGGCUGGUUUUGUACAUCGUCAAAUGGAGAGCCGCCAACCAUGGGAGCUGCGAACCUCCGUAGAAGUCUUUCUCCACUACAUGCCGAAGUCGAGGCCCUUCUCUGGGCAAUGAAGUGCGAAGUCUUUCUCCACUACAUGCCGAAGUCGAGGCCCUUCUCUGGGCAAUGAAGUGCAUGAUUGGUGCAGAUAAUCAGGAGGUAGCGUUCUUUACAGACUGUUCAGACCUGGUGAAGAUGGUGUCUUCUCCAACCGAAUGGCCGGCGUUUUCAGUGUAUUUGGAGGAAUUUCAGAGCGACAAGGAGGAGUUUUCAUCUUUUUCUUUAUCUUUAAUUUUUCGUAGGGCUAAUGUUAAGGCAGAUAAUCUGGCACGAAAUGUUCGUACAAAACCGUUUCAUAUCACCUAUAUAAACAACAUUCCUCAGGAAUGACUCUUUUGAGCUCUAAUUAAUUACGGAUGAAAAAAAAAAAAAAAAAAAAGACUAGACCAGUCUCUUGCUCAACGGUAUUUUCACCAACCAUUACAAAAAAAAAUCGCCGUCAAACGUUGGUGUUCUUAUUAACCCACGUGUUAAUCACACCAACUACCAAAAAUAUUCAGAAUCCAAAUUUCUUGAUUUGCUUCUAUAAAAACUUUUGUUUGACCAUCAAUUACAAAACCCAUUUGAAUUUUUCCUUCUCGUGUGUGUUUAGUUUUGGUUUCUCCUUCAAAGUUUGAAACUUUUUUUUUCCGGCAAUGGAGGGACUAGUUCCGGUACAGAGACUUCCGGUUAGAGUGGCUUCACCUUCUCUGUAUCGGUGUAACAAUUCUAUCUCAAUCAGACGUUCAAUUUCAGGUUUUGCCAUGGACAGGAAGAUAAACUUUAGGGCUCCGCCGCAAUUCUCGAUCCGAGCUCAACAGGUACGGCCAAAGUUCUCCCAUUUUUGAUUCUUCUGUCUAUGAUUGAUGAUUUCUAACAACACCCUUAAAUAAAGUUCAAGUCUUUCGUUUGAUUCUUAAUGAUUUGUCACAUUUUAUGUUGUCUAAACCCUAGCUGGAUCAAAUUGGGAUUUUCUAAUUCUAAUUCUAUCAAUUUGUUGCUGAAAGUGUUUGCCUUUUUUUGUUUUGGAUAGUCGGAUUUGAAGGAAAGCUUAGCUGUGUCUUCUUCAUCAGUAGAGGAUAAAGGAAAUGCUCUUAGAAUCAAGGAAUGGGAAGUGGAGAUGUAUCAGGAGGAAUUAGCCAUUAGUCAAGGUAUUAGGAUAAGGAGAAAACCACCGAGUAAGGCUCCUUUGGGAUACUCUGGACCAUUUGAGUUGAGGUUGCAUAAUGAUGAUGCUGAUUCUCCCCGUAAUAUCUUGGAGGAGAUUACAUGGUACAAAGACGAAGAAGUUUCGCGGGUAAAGACUUUCUCCUUAGAAUGUGUUUGUUUAUCCGAAGGUCUGUGACUUAAUGGUUGUUUUUUCACUUUUCAGAUGAAGGAACUAAACUCGCUUGACGCGCUGAAGAAAGCUGUAGAGGAUGCUCCUCCGACUAGGGAUUUUGUGGGGGCGCUUAGGAUGGCUCAUAAAAGAACUGGGUUCCCUGGGUUGAUCGCUGAGGUUAAGAAGGCUUCUCCAAGUAGAGGAAUCUUAAAAGAAAAUUUUGACCCGGUAUGUGAUGCUGGUUUCUGUUUCUUUCUGUAAUGACAUUAGAUCGUGUUCUUGAAUUGAGUUAGUGGACUCUGAUUAAGCGAGUAAAGGUUGAUUCUUCAAUGGAUAAAAGAUUGGAACAUUGAGCAUUGUAGUCUUUGGCUUUGGGUAGUAGAUCAACAUUUUUCUUUUUUCUUGUGAACGGUUCCCAAUAUGAUUUGCUAUUGUUCUUUUAUCUAGACCUGCAAGGUCUUCAUGAUUCCUAUGGCUGUGUUACUAAUGCAUAUCGUCUUACAGGUCGAGAUUGCUCAAGCUUAUGAAAAAGGUGGAGCAGCAUGCCUCAGCGUUUUGACAGACCAGAAGUAUUUCCAGGUUCACUUGUGUAUUCAGUUGCAGAUAUCUUAUUCACAUUUGUAACAAGUUUUUAACAUGUAUAAUUUUUAUCUUGAUGUUGUUCAACAGGGAGGCUUUGAAAACUUGGAAGCAAUUAGGAGCGCUGGUGUGAAGGUAUUUUCUUAGCAAAGACUGGUGUUUUUGCAGCUUUAUAUUCAAAAAACUUUGUGUAAGCCAUGCAUUUCAAUUAUUGCAGUGUCCACUAUUAUGCAAAGAGUUUGUUGUAGAUCCAUGGCAGAUCUACUAUGCCCGGACUAAAGGUGCAGAUGCAGUAUUGCUUAUUGCUGCUGUAUUGACUGACCUAGAAAUAACCUACUUGCUUAAGAUCUGCAAGAAGCUUAGUUUGGCUGCACUUGUUGAGGUCUUUUUUCCUGCUUUGAUUAUAGUUAAUCGGGUGACAAAUUAUUCACGUUGAAAGUUAGUAUUAUUUUUGUUUCACUCUUAAUAUUCUUGACUUUCAAUUAGGUACAUGAUGAGAGAGAGAUGGGUCGUGUGCUUGGAAUAGAAGGAAUCGAGCUUGUUGGCAUCAAUAACCGAAGCCUUGGUAAUAAAGCUUUUGUACAUAUCGCUAGUUCUGAUAUCUGUGGUCUUAGAAUGAGUUUAUGAGGAUGUGAGUUUUGUUGUGGAGAGUUUAGUUCAGUUGAGGAGUCUCACGAAUCUAAAAUGUUUGUGUUUCAGAAACAUUUGAAGUGGACAUCAGUAACACAAAGCAGCUUCUUGAAGGAGAGCAUGGUAGACAAAUCCGUGAGAGAGACAUGAUUGUAAGUACUUCCACUUUCCAUUCUUCAAUUGGUGUCUGUCAAUUGCUGGAACAUCAUCCUGAGUCCUGACCAUGAUGAUCCUGUUUUGUGGGUUUAAGGUGGUUGGCGAAUCUGGUCUGUUUACACCAGAUGACAUUGCCUAUGUACAAGCUGCCGGAGUAAAAGCGGUAAGCUUUCACAUCCAUCCAUCCAAACAUUUGGCUGCUUGAAACCUCUGCAAGCAUUCAUCAGAUAAUCGAUUCGCUGAAUUGCUGAUGUAUGAGCUUAUUCUAAUUUUACAGGUAUUGGUUGGUGAGUCCAUUGUGAAGCAGAACGACCCUGAGAAAGGAAUAGCUGGACUUUUUGGCAGGAACAUUUCUCAUACUUAGAAAACCGUAUCACCUAAUUUUACAUCUCCAAAUAUGUUUCCUAGUACAUUUGUUUGUAUCUUGCAUUGUGAGUAUUGAGGAAAGACUAGAAAGGCUUGUUGACUCUGAUGUUUCAGACAUUUUCAAAUACCGUCGAAUAAAGUGAAUCGAAUAUGAUUCAAGGUAGCUUCCAUGGAACCGAAAUCAACAGAGAGAUAGCAAUAUUACGUUGUCAUUAACUCACAGGUGAAGAAUACAACCCAUCACACCAAUACAUAGAAACGACGACAUUGUUGUUAUCUAAAUACAUUCAUCCUUGCACAACAACCAGAGUCACUAAACACACCACUCAAAACAUUUCUUACCAGAAUCCAAAAGUGACUGUCAUGGCUUCUCAGACAAGCUCCAGUCUUCUUGAUGCAGUAUGAUUUUAGAUAUAGAUAAACGACCUUCCAAGGCAAACACCUCUCCACUUAUUCUGCGCGUAUACAGCAAAACCAUUUUUUCUGCAAAUUAUGCAAGAAACAGCAUCAAUAAUACAUCUAUACUACGAUGAUUAAGAUACGAAGAAGAGAUGCUGCUGCUUACGGCGGGUUUCUCAAGAACUUCCCCAUUUUUAUUAUAUCCAGGUUCAUCUUUCCCUGGUGAGUCGGAUUUUCCACCUCCCUUUUUCUCGUUUCUAGCUUUGUUGAAGAUAACAGUAAAUCCCUCAGCUGAUGAAGGGUCAUUCACAUCCCAUUCGCCAAACUUUGGCAACGGGCGGCCCUUGUCCUACACACAAUCCAAACAUUUUAAGUCACCCGAUUGUCCAAGACGAUGAGUUCUAAAAGCCAACAACACUCACACAAAACAUCCAUUUCAAAAAAAAUGUCAUUAAUACUUAUAUUGAUUCUUUGCAAACCAAAAUACUCAAGGUUGUUGUCUUCUAUGAUUUAACAGUAUAAGAGCCUCUAUGUCCAACACAACAACACGUAACAAACAUAUAUUUAGGAAAAAGUUUCAGCAAAAGCAAGCUAUAUGCAAAGUAUUGAAAUCCAGAAGAUGAUAUGCAUAGACAACAACUAUGCAAUUUCUCAUUGUCCCUACUUACUUACUGUUCAAGAUCUUACCAAGACUUUCUCUUUGUCUAUUCACUAAUCUAGAAUUAGCCAACUAUAUGAGAGCAGAGUCAUUAUGAAAGAUUAACAAACCAAUUUUAUCUCAACACCAAAAUCUUGAAACUAAAAGAAUAGAAGAAACUGCAGAGAUAACAAAUCUUUGAUUUUUUCCAACAGUAACUACAAAUCUAUACAAAAGAUUAAACUUUUGUAAGAUCAAGACAAGAAAGCUCCAUUUUCAACAAGCAAAAACCAUUAUUACAGAAUCCAAGAGUCAAAAAAACUCGCAGACGAAUAAAUCCAAAUAAAUAAAGGACCACAAGAAAUGAUAAAUCUCAAAGCAAAUCCAGAUGAACAAUCAGAAGAAAAAGCAUCAAACUUUAACAAUUUCACACAAAAAAAAAAAACAAGAAAUCACAUAAACAUCAAAAUCAAUAGAUGAAGAGACCAAAAACAGAAGAAACAAGAAAUCUCAAGAUUCAUAGAUUAAACAAUAUGGAGACAAAAGAGAGGGAGGGAGAGAGAUCGUACUGCCAUGGAUUAAGGAAGAGCUGAGAUGCGUUGUGGUGGUGGUCGUCUCCUUCCUCUGGGAGGUUUCCUCCUUUCAGCUUUUGUUUUAUCUUUUUUGGUGAAAUUUUUGGGGAUUAGGCGAAAAAGAAGGAGCCAUGGAUUCUUGGGCCUUAAUGGGCCCAUUAUGUCUUUUUUUUUUGCUAUUUUGAUUUGAACGUUUCAACAGUGAAGUAAACCAUUCUUUUAUCUCACUCUCGUCUCGCCGUUUUUUUAUAUCCCAAACUCGGUUAUUAUUAUUUUUUUUUAAUCUCAAAAUCCGAAAUAACCGGUUAACCAAAAUAACCGACCGGUUCGUUGAGGUUUAUCUGAAAAAUCGCUGGCCCAGUUAUAAUGAACGGAUUUACUUGUUAAAAAUCUUGUUGGACGGAUCGAAUCGAUCCGAACCGAAUUGAUCUGAACCGAAUCGAUUGUUAGACGGACCGAAUUUAGAAUUCUAUUUAAAUCUAGUGUUAUUAAAUUUAUUGGUGUUAGAGUUCUAUUAAAUUAAUUUCUACUGUUAUUCAAUUUAUUGGUUUUAGAAUUCUCUUAAAUUUUUACUGUUAUCCAAUAUUAAAAUUGUUUUUAAUGCCAAUGUGAUUUGAUUAGAAUUUAAUAGAAAUCAAAAGAAAAAAAACUUGAAGAAACAAAUCUCACAUUUUAUGGUGUGAUUUAGAUAGAAUUUUUCAAAUUCUUUAAUUCUUUUAUUUUUCUAUUCAUUUUAAUUUUAAAAAAAAAUCAGUUAUCGAAUACACCCUCCUUUAGAGGUGUAUCCAAUCAAGUAUGUUCAGUGAUUUUUGUUAUUAUGUUUCUAGUAAAAUAAUUUGAAAGCAUAUGGUCUAAAGAAAAUAUUUUGGGAGAAGUAGUGAUGAAGUGUUUUAAGGUUUAGAAUGAAAAUUUGGUGAUGGUCAUUUAUGUCUAAAUUGGGUAGAAGAAAGGUGAGCAUGUUUGGCACAAAAGAGAAUACAUUUGAUGGAGAUUGUAGUGAGAAAAAGUAAUGAUAAUGGAUUUACAAUUUGAUUUGCGUAGAACUUGGAUGCAAUAUUGUGAAUCAUCAUGUAAUAUAUUUUUAUUCAUAUAUUGAGGGUAAAGAUGACAUGAAAUAUUAUUAAGGACUAGAAAUAGGAGAACCAUCUUGAGAACUGGCUAGACAACAACAUUCAACUCCACCUUUCCGGUAUCCUAAUCCUAGACAUUUCCCUUCUUCGUACCCUUCAUCUAUGCAUGUUUCAUUGCAUUCAUGUGUACUAUAACAUUUCAUUCCACACUGUUUGAUUUCUCUUAUCUUGUUGAUCAUUUCUCCUGUUUGAUUCAUGAACAAAGAUAUCAACAAUGUAAAAAUGGUCAAUAGAACAUUUUAAGAUUGGGUCUAGUUAUUAGACUCAAAUGGUAAUAAUAUCCAAUUUUCUUAAGAUAAUCUAUGAAUAAUAUGAGAUAAUUUGUUAUAAACAGAUAAAUGUUUUACCUGAAAUCAUGGGAAUAAAGAUGAAAGUCGAAAUCAUCAACGAAAGUAAUAUAAGAGAUGAAAUUUGUUUGAUGGCCAUUAGAUAUAUUUCUAGAGAAUACACUAAUUUUUUUCAGAAAAUAUUGUUAGAUCUCACAAGAAAGUGAAACCUAUAAAAGUAAAAUUCAAAAUCAGUGUAGAGUUAAUAAAUUUUGAAAUAAGAGGAACAUCUCUUAUCUUCUUCAAUAGAAAAUAUUCAACAUUUUCGACGAAGUUUAAUAGUAUAUUUAGGAUUAACCUUUUUUUUGGUCAAAAUAUUGAUGAUUUAUCUUUUGGCUUUAUGAUAUUUCUAUGAUCUAUUUUAAUGGCUUUGACUAGAACUGAAUAAAUUAACAUCAUAUGAACCAUUCAAACUUACUUUAAUAGAUCUUCCAUAAUAUUAAAGAAUUUAUCUGGAAUCUUUCUUGAUAUAUAUUUUAAUAUAUCUUCCAUACCAUAUGGUAAAUAAUAUAUAAUGAGUUUUUCAUAGCAAAUAUUUUGUUUAAUAGUUUUUUUUACAUGAUAAUUUUAGUCAUAUGGUUUCAUCAUUUAUUUGUGUUCCCCUUCGGUAUUAUUUUUUAUUUUUUUUAAAAAAGUAGAAUUCCCAAAAUACCACUUUUAUGAUAUACUUGUUUUUGGUCCAUUUUCAAAAAUACCACAAAAUAUGAAUUUAUAAAAAACAAUCAUAUACUUCUACAGCGUACGUUAUAAACAAUGUUUAAAAAGUUUUAUAAAAUGUUAAUAAGGUUUCAUAGGAUUUUUGAACAACUUUUCUCUUUAUAAUAUUUUUGAAAUAUGAUAUCAUAAAGAGUGAAUUUGUGCAGAGGUAAAAACCGGACAUCUAAUUAGCUAAUCGGUAAUAGGCGACUUCGUCCCAGACAAACAAAAAAUCAAGCGUUACUAAUAGCCUUCAACUUUAAAAGAAUUACAGAAAAAUCAAUUAGUUACAGACUCCAUGCGCGUGUGAUAGCGCCAUUGACUUUUGGGGAGGGAAAAAAAUGAAAUGACAGUUAUUAAAUGCUCUGUUGUAUAAGUGAUAUUUACGCAGCCAUAGAAAGAAGGAGAAGACUUGUAUUAAAUUCAAACUGACGGACUGUCUUCGAAUCCCUUAAUUUUGAAUCUAUAACCCAACUUGUUGAGCGAGAAUUUGAAAUUACUACUAACCUAAUGGAAUAGACACCCAAUAAUUAGGCAUGCAGCUGUGUUGCCAAAAAGUAUACAUGCAGACACAUAUAUAAAGCGUUAAAAAUAAUUAUAGUGUUAAGUUAUUGGAUCUAUGUAUAUAUGUAAAUAGAUAUAUAUAUAUAUAUAUAGAGAGAGAGAGAGAGAGAGCGUUAUUAAUAUUUGUAUACAUAUAAACAUGUUUAAACAUGUACAUUAAACAUUGUAAAGCUUUCAUAACAGUUUUGAUUGUAUUGAGCUUGAAGUACACUAUGAGACGACCACCAGCAGGUUCUUCUAUGUCGGCAAAUAAAUGAGAAGGAAGCUCCAUAUCAGCCAUCCUGCAAAAAAUUAGAUCUACGAAGGGGAGAUGACAACAUGCAAGUUAAAAAUGGAGAUCCACAGGAAAUUAUGAGUGUCUAUAUGUAGGUCUAAGUAAAAUAAGUAGAGAUACAAGUGGAUCUGCAGAGGCCUAACAGAAAAGUUAGAGUUUAAGAUUGGAAAACAAAAGUCGAAAUUAGAGUGAAACAAUUGAAACGACGGGUGGUAAGAUCAGAAAAACAAAAGAAAUCGAGAAACAAAACUUCGUGUAAAUUCUACCCUCCGGCUUACCGAAUUAGAGAGGAAGACGCUUUGAGACAGCGACUUAAUAGUGACAACGGCGGGAAUUAUGUACUUCGCUGGAGCAAAAAUAAGUUCUCGAAGACGAAGAUGAGAAGACGAUGAGACUAAGAGAAAGGUUUUGAGAGAGAGAAAAUA
rnacentral:lncRNA from 1 species